rnacentral:tRNA from 1 species
GGCUCGAUAGCUCAGUUGGUAGAGCAGAGGCCUGAAAAGCCUUGUGUCCCCAGUUCAAGUCUGGGUCCUGCCACCA